AGGUCUUGACAUACCGAUGACAGGUCUAGAGAUAGAUUUUCCCUUUUAGGGCAUCGGAUACAGGUGGUGCAUGGUUGUCGUCAGCUCGUGUCGUGAGAUGUUGGGUUAAGUCCCGNAACGAGCGCAACCCCUAUUGUUAGUUGCCAUCAUUAAGUUGGGCACUCUAGCGAGACUGCCAGUAAUAAACUGGAGGAAGGUGGGGAUGACGUCAAAUCAUCAUGCCCCUUAUGACCUGGGCUACACACGUGCUACAAUGGGAAGUACAACGAGUUGCGAGGCGGUGACGCCAAGCUAAUCUCUUAAAGCUUCUCUCAGUUCGGAUUGUAGGUUGCAACUCGCCUACAUGAAGUCGGAAUCGCUAGUAAUCGCGGAUCAGCACGCCGCGGUGAAUACGUUCCCGGGCCUUGUACACACCGCCCGUCACACCACGAGAGUUUGUAACACCCGAAGUCGGUGAGGUAACCGUAAGGAGCCAACCGCCUAAGGUGGGAUAGAUGAUUGGGGUGAAGUCGUAACAAGGUAAGCGUAGAUGA
rnacentral:rRNA from 1 species